rnacentral:rRNA from 1 species
AUUGAACGCUGGCGGCAUGCUUUACACAUGCAAGUCGAGCGGCAGCGCGGGGGCAACCCUGGCGGCGAGCGGCGGACGGGUGAGUAAUGCAUCGGAACGUAUCCCGUAGUGGGGGACAACCCAGCGAAGGCUGGGCUAAUACCGCAUAUGCUCUACGGAGGAAAGUGGGGGACCCGCAAGGGCCUCACGCUAUGGGAGCGGCCGAUGUCCGAUUAGCUAGUUGGUGGGGUAAAGGCCUACCAAGGCGACGAUCGGUAGCUGGUCCGAGAGGAUGAUCAGCCACACUGGGACUGAGACACGGCCCAGACUCCUACGGGAGGCAGCAGUGGGGAAUUUUUGGACAAUGGGGGGCAACCCUGAUCCAGCCAUGCCGCGUGCGGGAAGAAGGCCU